GCCUUCUCUACACACAUCGCUCACUGAAGAAAACUCCUCAUAUCAUCUCCGCACUUUAUUUUUGUUGUAUAGCUCCUUACACAGGCUUGCUUUACUGUGUGUCCACGCUACAUACCAACUCCAUCUCCAUGUGUAUUUAUGUGUCUUACUCUACACAGAUACCCACCCUGUGUGUUUAUUUGUAGGUGUGUUAUACUCUACACAGUUACCCACCCUGUGUGUUUAUUUGUAGGUGUGUUAUACUCUACACAGUUACCCACCCUGUGUGUUUAUUUGUUGGUGUGUUAUACUCUACACAGAUACCCACCCUGUGUGUUUAUUUGUAGGUGUGUUAUACUCUACACAGUUACCCACCCUGUGUGUUUAUUUGUUGGUGUGUUAUACUCUACACAGAUACCCACCCUGUGUGUUUAUUUGUAGGUGUGUUAUACUCUACACAGAUACCCACCCUGUGUGUUUAUUUGUAGGUGUGUUAUACUCUACACAGAUACCCACCCUGUGUGUUUAUUUGUAGGUGUGUUAUACUCUACACAGAUACCCACCCUGUGUGUUUAUUUGUAGGUGUGUUAUACUCUACACAGAUACCCACCCUGUGUGUUUAUUUGUAGGUGUGUUAUACUCUACACAGUUACCCACCCUGUGUGUUUAUUUGUAGGUGUGUUAUACUCUACACAGUUACCCACCCU